UCUCCGUUGGUGAACCAGCGGAGGGAUCAUUACCGGGUUUACAACUCCCAAACCCAAUGUGAACCAUACCAAACUGUUGCCUCGGCGGGGUCACGCCCCGGGUGCGUCGCAGCCCCGGAACCAGGCGCCCGCCGGAGGGACCAACCAAACUCUUUCUGUAGUCCCCUCGCGGACGUUAUUUUUACAGCUCUGAGCAAAAAUUCAAAAUGAAUCAAAACUUUCAACAACGGAUCUCUUGGUUCUG
rnacentral:misc_RNA from 1 species